UACGGAGGGUGCGAGCGUUGUCCGGAAUCACUGGGCGUAAAGGGCGCGUAGGCGGCCUGAUAAGUCGGGGGUGAAAUCCUGAGGCUUAACCUCAGGGCUGCCUUCUAAACUGUCAGGCUCGAGCACAGUAGAGGCAGGUGGAAUUCCCGGUGUAGCGGCGGAAUGCGUAGAGAUCGGCAGGAACACCCAGGGGGAAACCAGUCGACUGGGCAUCUACUGACGCUGAGGUGCGAGAGCGUGGGGAGCGAACCGG
rnacentral:rRNA from 1 species